UAAUACGGAGGUGGCGAGCGUUGUUCGGAAUCACUGGGCUUAAAGCGCGUGUAGGCGGGGCGGCAAGUGUCGGGUGAAAGCCCUCGGCUCAACCGAGGAACGGCCUGGCAAACUGCCGUCCUUGAGGUAGACAGAGGUCACUGGAACGACGGGUGGAGCGGUGAAAUGCGUAGAUAUCCGUUGGAACGCCGGCGGCGAAAGCGAGUGACUGGGUCUGUCCUGACGCUGAGACGCGAAAGCGUGGGUAGCAAACAGGAUUAGAUACCCUGGUAGUCCACGCCGUAAACGAUGCGCACUAGGUAUGAGGGACUCUGACGUCAAUCGUGCCGAAGCAAAAGUGGUAAGUGCGCCGCCUGGGGAGUACGGCCGCAAGGCUA
rnacentral:rRNA from 1 species